GUUUAGCUUUUACAUUUCUACAUUUAAUCCUUUUUACUGAAUGAAACCAGAGAACUGAAGGACAGAAGUUCUUCUGUUUUUGGAUCUUUGCACCUGAAACUUUCUGCACCAACUCUUCGGUAUCUCUCCUGCUGCUGACUCUAGAACUCAUCUCUCUCCUGUCAUCCAGAUCAACAUGAAGAUCUCUAUCUUUGCUGGUGUUCUGCUGAUCUCUGCUGCUCUGAUCUCUGCUGCU